AGGCAUUGGUGGGAUACUACCCUAAUUGUAUUGGAUUUCUAACCCGCAGCACUUAUCGUGCUGGGAGACAGUGUCAGGCGGGCAGUUUGACUGGGGCGGUCGCCUCCUAAAGAGUAACGGAGGCGCUCAAAGGUUCCCUCAGAAUGGUUGGAAAUCAUUCAUAGAGUGUAAAGGCAUAAGGGAGCUUGACUGCGAGACCUACAAGUCGAGCAGGGUCGAAAGACGGACUUAGUGAUCCGGUGGUUCCGCAUGGAAGGGCCAUCGCUCAACGGAUAAAAGCUACCCCGGGGAUAACAGGCUUAUCUCCCCCAAGAGUUCACAUCGACGGGGAGGUUUGGCACCUCGAUGUCGGCUCAUCGCAUCCUGGGGCUGUAGUCGGUCCCAAGGGUUGGGCUGUUCGCCCAUUAAAGCGGUACGCGAGCUGGGUUCAGAACGUCGUGAGACAGUUCGGUCCCUAUCCGUCGUGGGCGUAGGAAAUUUGAGAGGAGCUGUCCUUAGUACGAGAGGACCGGGAUGGACAUACCUCUGGUGUACCAGUUGUCGUGCCAACGGCAUAGCUGGGUAGCUAUGUAUGGACGGGAUAAGUGCUGAAAGCAUCUAAGCAUGAAGCCCCCCUCGAGAUGAGAUUUCCCAACUUCGGUUAUAAGAUCCCUCAAAGAUGAUGAGGUGAAUAGGUUCGAGGUGGAAGCGUAGUGAUACGUGGAGCUGACGAAUACUAAUCGAUCGAAGACUUAAUCAA
rnacentral:rRNA from 1 species